GCCCCCGUAGCUCAGUCGGUUAGAGCUGGGAACUCAUAAUUCCUCGGUCGCAGGUUCGAGCCCUGCCGGGGGCACCA
rnacentral:tRNA from 1 species